UAAGUUUAGAGAACAAAUUUAACCUCACAUAGUCAGUACCCCAGAGUCAGUCAAUAGCACAGAGGAAAGGAUUCAGAAAUUCUCCUAAUUUUAUGAUUUACAAGUUAAAAUAAAAAAGGUAGUUAAAAAUCCACCCACAAGAACUUGAAAAAGGCAGGCUGGCAGGUGGAGAGAGCCUGUGUCCUAUCCCCUCCAGUGAAGUGCAGCUUCAACUGGAAACUGAAAGACAGGUUUGAAAUAAGAUCCUGGCUAUGAUAAAGUAUUACUCCUGUGAACAUAGUUCGGCACAUGUCCUUAUGAGAUCAAAAGUCAAUGACGGAUUUGAAGCUUCUUCUCCCCAGAUGCCUAGGACAGGAGCUCACAUAUUUGAAUGCCUGUUCCAAAGAUGGAAAAUUUUGGGUAAAUGAAAAGGACUUUGCCCAAGCCAGGCAUGAUCAUUCUAUCCUGUUGCAGAAGCACAGGUUUUAUUAAAAUUAAUAAGACAGAGUGGAUUGUAGGCCAAUAUUUCUAUAUGGUGUGGCUGCCAGGCUCUAAAGCCAUAGGCCCAACCUGAGGAUGGACACGUAGCCUCCCAGACAAGCCGUCGCAGCCUAACAAAAGGUCAGAAUGUUGUUGCUCAUUCUUUGUAAUUUGGAGGAUGCCUGAUAGAAAUGCUAAUUCAAACCUAUGUGACAGCUAGCAUACACAGCAGACAGGUAGCUGUGGAUGUGACCGAAAGCCAUUCACCUCAUUAUAGGGGAAUGUUAAUAUAUUUCCCCUAAGUUAAGUUUUGGUAUAAAGACUGUUUUGGAGAAUAAAGUGAGAGGAAUUCUUCAGGAUGUGAACUCAGGACUUCAUGAGGGACUACUGAGAAUCUCCCUUCCGAUAAAACCAUGUGAGUUGGGUCUUUAAUUCCGUGCCUCCACCCCGGUCCAGAGAGAGAGAGUUUAUGUUGGGGUCUGGUCGAGAGAAAUAAUUGAGGGUCUGGGCUAGCAUCGGACCCUGAUAACUAUAAGAGUUUUGCCUAUUGCAAUUCCUUAGGCAAACCUUGCUGCUGCUUCGAUUUCAUUAAAUGUUUUUUUUUUGUUCACACAUUGAUUUCUCCUAUAAAAGUCUGAUAAUUGCAAGAUGUAACACUGAGCUCGAGCCAGCUAAGAUAAAGAACUUCCCAAGUAAACAUGAACAGUGAAUUUGCAAUCAGGAAAAAGCAGAAGAAAAAAAUACAAAGAGCCAACAAAUCUUUACAUGUUAACCCUUUGUUGAAGUUUUAAAAAGUCAUUUGCUCCCAUUGUUUUCCUACCCAUUGGGAAUGAAAGCCAAGCUUCCAUGGGGUGAGGCUUUAAUCAUCACAUUACACCCCCAGCUCACUCGUCAAGUUCCCAGCUCAGCCGCACAGUGGCAAUUGUCAGACAUACUCCUUUCUUUAACUCUUCAUUUUCCCCUUUUGUUUUUUAUAACAUCUUCAAAAAGAGAAACAUCAUCUUGUUGAUUUUGACAACUACAUCUAUUAUGUUCCAUAUAGUGAAAUGCUCUUUCAGUAUUGGAUGAG